AUUUUGUUUUCAUGAUGUCAAAAUGUGGGGCGCUUUCGAUGCCUGUCUGUAGUAAACUUCAAAAUGGCGACCAGUGACGAUGAGCCGAUGCAUCUUUACGAAGUUUUUCAAAAUUGUUUCAAUAAAAUUGCAAAUAAACAGCCUGGCGCAGAUAAAAAUGGCUACCAAUCACCGUAUGUUGGUUUAGAUAACGGAAUGUACACCGGCGAGGAAUUCCCCCAUGACAGUUCCGGCGGAAGCGCUAGAUAUGCUUCCCCAAAGGCCGGAGGAACGUUAUAUCAACCAGAGCAAUACUUCGAUUCGACUGGUGGAAAUUGGUAUUCAUCGCCAACCGGGUCAUAUCCUCCACAAACAACGUCGUAUAAUAACGCAGGCCAUUCUAAUCACCUAGGAUCCUCUCAUGGUCACGAAUAUACUAUGUCGCCAGGAAUGGUUCAUAUGGAUAAUCACCUAGCACCACAAAAUCAACCACAAACUUUACCGCCAAUGAGUUCAUUCCGUGGAAGUAACGUACAACCCGUCCCAUCUGGUUUGCAAAGUCAAAAUUCUCCUGCACUUUAUAGUUCGACACUUGGCCAUGCAACUCAUUCACAUCCACACACUCAGCAUAGUCCGGCAGUGCAAAAUGAUACAAUGGUUGGAAAAGCAAUGCAAACCAUGUAUACAGCGGCAGAUCAAAGUAUUAGUAGUUUCAGCUCAAAUCCUUCGACCCCUGUCAAUUCCCCACCACCUCUAACAACACAGCCACAGCAGCAAGCAUCGCACGGCUUGCUGCCGAAUACAAACGGAAAUAAUGCAUCAUGGCAACAAUUGACGCCUGUCAUUAAUGGAUCUACAGUAGCUGCUACAAAUAGCUUAACACUACCAAACGGUGGCUAUCCGAAUGACUUGGUGUCUCGAGGACUGCAUAUGGCAAGUCAACCUGAAUUGCAACCAAUUAAUGACGCAAUAGGGUUCUUAACGGGACAUAUAGAUAGUACAACGACAUUUCAAGGUACACGUAUGGAAGAGCGUCUCGACGAUGCAUUAAAUGUAUUAAGGAACCAUUGCGAACCGCAAUUAGGACUACCGUUAGGAAAUAUUGAAGGACCCUCGACAUUUGUACCUACUUCGCCCAUAGGACCCUCAACUCUAGCGCAGGAUACAAUAACAAAUGAUGCAUCGCCAUCUAUUAAAAUGGAAAGAGCACCAGCUUCAGUAACAGCAAUAAAUUCAAAAAAAAGAAAAGAACCACCAGAUGCGGACACAAAACCCAGUAGCUCAGUCGAAACAAAAGGUGCAAAGAGGGCCCGACGGUAUGGUAGUAGUAAUACUACAAAUGAUAGUGGUGAUGACACUAUAGAUCCCUCUAAUAAAGCUAUUAGAGAGAAAGAGCGGCGACAAGCAAAUAAUAUUAGAGAGAGAAUACGAAUCCGAGAUAUUAAUGAGGCAUUAAAAGAACUCGGAAGAAUGUGUAUGGCGCAUCUAAAAUCUGACAAGCCACAAACUAAACUGGGCAUCUUGAAUAUGGCUGUUGAGGUCAUCAUGACAUUAGAGCAACAAGUCAGAGAACGAAACCUCAACCCAAAAUCAGCCUGCCUGAAGAGGCGAGAGGAGGAGAAAGCUGAGGAUGGUCCAAAAAUUCCACAACAUCAUAUGAUGGCACAAGCACCAUAUGCAGCGAUGCCGGGCCCACCUACAAAUUUACCUCACAACUCUGGACAACCACAAUAGCAGUUUAAUAUUUUCCGGAAGGUACCAUAUGUAAAUAACAGUUAAAUUAUAAGAAAGAGAUAUAAGGAUGAAAGUAUAUCGGAACAGAGUACUCUUGUCAGACCGUAUAUCCGAUUCGUUCAAAUGUUGUUAUAAAAUGACGUAUCACAUCCGUCCCUGACUGUGACUACACAGUCAACAGAUGAGUAAAAAAUCUUCAUAGUAUGAACGAGAUUGUUCUAACAAUUUCCGUUAACCGAUGUUAUGACAACAAUGAACGAACAUUUUCAACAAUUAGCCGCAACAAUGCAGAUCAUGUAGCCUUUCAAGUGAAAAAUAUUAACUUCAAACGACGUACUUCCUUAAUGUUUAUUUUUGAUUAUUUCUAAUGGACGACGUAUUUCGUUGUAAUGUGCUUAAAAUUAUAUUGUUGGAGGAUAAAAAGCUAUAAUUUUUCAAGUGAUAAACAUAAAUUUUGCAAACAAAGUAUAGUGAAAAAUGAAAAAAAUGUAUAAAACAGUAUUUUACACUUUAUUUUGCGUUGACUUAUUAUUAUUUUUUUAAUUUAAACAUAACUUUUAUCUAUCUAUAUUGACUAUUAAAGAAAAAAAAAGAAAAACAUUAAGAACGUCUGUAUACAUUUCUAUUAUGGUUUAUAUAUUUUUAUUUAGUAUUUUUGCUACUUAUCGUGUAAGAAGAAAAAUUCAGAGACAAUGAAUUAGUUAAAACGUAAGAUAUAUAUAAACGCAGAAGAAUAGUGAACAUAUUUACAUAUUUUUAUGGCACAUUUUGUUUGUAAGGGCAAUUUAAUUUUUGUAUUAGUUGUACGUUAGUUUCGUAUAAUGUGUAAAGUAGAAAAGAAGAAAUAAAACAACAACAGCGGAGACAAUACUAAUGGCCAUUAUUAUUAUUAUGAGAAAACUGAAGGAGCGUCAGAAUGUUUCUUUUUUAAAUUUUUAAAUUCCCAAACGCUCGCCAAAAUUGCUUCUUUUUUUAUAAAAAGAAAUCAAACUAAAAAUCAAAAUACCAACCAGUCUCUCAUAUCGGUUAUGAAGAACUAGAUGGAAGUCUUAAAUUAUGGAAAACAUUGAAAUAUCAAACCUUAAAUGAUAUGAAAUGAAUAAAAAGAAUUGCUAACAUUAGAAAUAAAUUCUUUAUUUAAUAGUAUUUACUUAGUUUGAAAAUCCAUAAUUUAAGGAAAUGACAAUUUAUAGAUUUUAGUUUGUAAGCUAAAGCAAAAGGAAUAUUAUAGUUCUAAUUAUAACGGAAGAAAAAAAGUUGCUGAAGACGCAAGAGUUCAUGUAAAAAUGAAAAAGGUAUAUUAAAAAAAAAAUGAAACAGCAUAAAAGGAAAUUGUACUAUACAGAAAAAAUAAAUGUGCCAUUUUUUCAUUAAA
rnacentral:misc_RNA from 1 species